rnacentral:lncRNA from 1 species
UCUGUUAAAAAAAAAUUAUGAACUAGUCAGCGAUUGCCAUCAUAUUUGUCUUAGGCUUCAUUUUCUGUGCUGUCUCAGAGACAUGAAAAAGUCACAUCAAGCGAAGCCAUUGGAGCGCCAUCCCUUGGAAUGGGCGAGUAGUACUCUGUCUCUGCAUUUGCAGUCUGAUAAAAUGUAAAAUGUGCUCACCUUGGGCUGGAUCCGAUCUAUUCUGUAUGAUCCUCUGCCGAUCUGGUCACAUUUCAUGUUGCUUUGUAAAGCCCACAUCUAAGUGUUUUGCACAAAUAUUUUAGGUUUAGGCCUCCCAGAUUCUUGCAAGGUGUGAUCAAAAGGUUGCAUGCACACAACAAUCUCUAGAUUAAUAUACAAAAAAAUACUGUCCAUUUUAACAGCACUUUUUUGUACCUCAUAGGAUGAAAGACAAAAUGCUCCUAAGGAAUAAUCUGAAGCAUGGGGCAGGGCAAUCUACAUCUGUGAGGUUGCCACGUCCUUCUCAGCCAUCUCUGAGUGCAUGAAAGACUCCCACAGAAUUGUUUAUACAUGCACACAGAAUUUAAUUAGAACGUGAUGUUUUCCAAAUAUGCAAAGGGGUCAUGGUGCUGAAAUUCUUUUACCAGAAAAUGUGACAUGCUACGAUAUAGACAUGAAGAAGGCAUGGACAUUGUUUACAGGAAAUGCAGCUGCACACACCAGAGAUUUUUAUGGGGAAUAAUAACAGGGGAUAUGAAGGCUAUAACAUAAAUUCUUUCUGGAGUAAUGAAAUUACUACUUCUAGUGAUUACACAUGAUGUAAAACAACCCCUGGGGACAUUGCUUUCAAUGUAAAUAAUACAAAAAACAUUUGCCCUAAUUAUUGUAGAAGCUUGAAAGGAGUCAUCCGAAUGCUUCCAAAACUCAAUGAUUAUUUUGAACGUUAUAUAUCAUGCCAGCAAAUGUGAACAAUAGCUAAAAGUAGCAGACGGCUGUACCAUCAUUCACAUUUCCUUAUAUAUUGGCCCAUUCCUCUAACUUUAAACUGGAGAUAUCACAGUUAAUACUUCAGAUGGUUAGUUUAGAAUGGAAUGAGUUG